rfam:Clostridium autoethanogenum DSM 10061, complete genome.
UUCUUAUCGAGAGAGACGGAGGGACUGGCCCUAUGAUGUCCGGCAACCUGAAUAUUUUAUAUUCAAUGGUGCUAAUUCCAGCAGGGAUAACCUGAAAGAUGAGAA